rnacentral:misc_RNA from 1 species
CAACCCUUAAGCUUAGCUUAGUGUUGGGAAUCUACUCUGAGCGGAGCUACCCGGGACCCUUUGCGGGGCUACCCGGUAGCGCCCUGUAGUUCCUCAAAUUCAGCGGCGGAGCUGUGGUAUCCUCUGAGCGUAGUAGUUAUAUCUCGCUUCUGUAGGUGCCGCGGUGCUUGCCGUAAAACCCCCCAAUUUUCAAU